GAAUUGGCAUGNGNGAAAGCCUGAUCCAGCCAUGCCGCGUGUGUGAAGAAGGUCUUCGGAUUGUAAAGCACUUUAAGUUGGGAGGAAGGGUUUCUGGCUAAUAUCCAGGAAUUUUGACGUUACCGACAGAAUAAGCACCGGCUAACUUCGUGCCAGCAGCCGCGGUAAUAA
rnacentral:rRNA from 1 species